rnacentral:rRNA from 1 species
CGACCGCUGGCGGCAUGCCUACCACAUGCAAGUCGACCGAGACCUUCGGGUCUAGUGGCGCACGGGUGCGUAACGCGUGGGAACCUGCCCUUAGGUUCGGAAUAACUCCCCGAAAGGGGUGCUAAUACCGGAUAAUGCCUUCGGACCAAAGAUUUAUCGCCUUUGGAUGGGCCCGCGUUGGAUUAGCUAGUUGGUAGGGUAAAAGCCUACCAAGGCGACGAUCCAUAGCUGGUCUGAGAGGAUGAUCAGCCACACUGGGACUGAGACACGGCCCAGACUCCUACGGGAGGCAGCAGUGGGGAAUAUUGGACAAUGGGCGAAAGCCUGAUCCAGCAAUGCCGCGUGAGUGAUGAAGGCCUUAGGGUUGUAAAGCUCUUUUACCCGGGAUGAUAAUGACAGUACCGGGAGAAUAAGCUCCGGCUAACUCCGUG